rnacentral:rRNA from 1 species
AGUGAACGCUGGCGGUAGGCCUAACACAUGCAAGUCGAACGGCAGCACAGUAAGAGCUUGCUCUUACGGGUGGCGAGUGACGGACGGGUGAGGAAUACAUCGGAAUCUACUUUUUCGUGGGGGAUAACGUAGGGAAACUUACGCUAAUACCGCAUACGACCUACGGGUGAAAGCAGGGGAUCUUCGGACCUUGCGCGAUUGAAUGAGCCGAUGUCGGAUUAGCUAGUUGGCGGGGUAAAGGCCCACCAAGGCGACGAUCCGUAGCUGGUCUGAGAGGAUGAUCAGCCACACUGGAACUGAGACACGGUCCAGACUCCUACGGGAGGCAGCAGUGGGGAAUAUUGGACAAUGGGCGCAAGCCUGAUCCAGCCAUACCGCGUGAGUGAAGAAGGCCUUCGGGUUGUAAAGCCCUUUUGUUGGGAAAGAAAAGCAGCAGGUUAAUCCCCCGCUGUUCUGACGGUACCCAAAGAAUAAGCACCGGCUAACUUCGUG